UGGAUUGUCUGGAAGGUUUUAUGUCGUGGUCUAUAACACCACGAUGGUGAAACCUGAGGAAGUUCAAUCCAUUCUCAAUCUGGCC
rnacentral:tRNA from 1 species